UGGACAGAUUAUUGUAUUCGACUGUAUUCACGGCGAGAAACAGAGGAUUACACUAUUUUAAACGAAAAAUGAAUCAAUUAACAUAAUAGACUCCU
rnacentral:pre_miRNA from 1 species